rnacentral:tRNA from 1 species
AUUAUAAAUUGGGAAUCGAACCCGGGAGCCCGCGUGUCAAGCGAGCAUUCUACCACUGAACCACCGA